GGGUGGGGCACUUUGUUGGAGCGAGAAGAUAGGUGUGACAAUGUGGUGGGGAAGACGAUGAUCAAAAUAGGCUAGCAGCUUGACAAGGAAAUCAAGGAAACAAGGGUUGCCAGAUAAAUGGUAAAUCCAAUCCCCUAAAAUGCUGUUAUUUGAAAAUAAGUAAAGUCAACCAUCGAUCCCUAAACUUGUAGCUUCGUGUCACCCCAGUCCCCGAGCUUGCAAAUCACUCAAUCAGGUCCCAAACACUAUUUGGGUCUCAUUUCUGUCCAAUCGGCACAACCAUGUGUAAAGGAGCCGACAUGUCUAUGCCACCAUGUCACGUACGUGGCGUGGGGGGAGGACUGAGAUGGGCCUUGUUUAUUUUACAUAGAAGCCCCUCUGAUCUAAUGUGUCCCUCAUUUAUCCCCUUGAUCCCCUCCCUGCUCGUUUGUAUUCUCGUCGAGAAGACAAGGUCUGCAAAGUCAGACAAGUGGGGGCUCGACGGUGGCGAUCGAGAGCAUACUAAGUGAGGUGGCACAGAGAUUAGCGGAGUGUGAAAGGAAGUGCACAAGCUGGAGCAGUUUGCCACCGCGACAUAUAAGGAUGGUGACAAGAUUGCGAGGGAAAGGGGAAGCACCGCCCGAGUAUGGUGAGUUGAUCUUUGUUGGUAUAUUUAAUGAUCAUGAAUAAAUUCGCAAGCGCACGGAUAUACCGUUGUAGCAUUUCACCCAAGAGUAUGCUCAAGGGUAUCGUAUUUCCCAAAGGAAGGUGGGUAGGUUAAAAGAGUUUACUAUGCAUAUGAGUAUACCAUAGAUGGAUAGAGACAAUACUCAAGGUAGGGGUAAGAUAUGAUAGAUAUGUAGUGUGAAACACACAGGAAUCAUCUCAAGAUAACUAAGCUAGGGAGAAGGACUAAGAGUUAGCUCUAGGUUCAUACCUACUUCGUAUAUACUGCACAAAUCAUACAAGCAUAACAUACAUACACAUUGUAUAGGACUCAGGCCUAUUCAUCCUAGCACACACAGGG
rnacentral:lncRNA from 1 species